rnacentral:lncRNA from 1 species
UACAGGAAGGACUUAAUUAAGUAAGAAUCCAGCAAAGGAGACUAAAACAGGAUAAUCAGAAAAGUCCUAGGACAACCAGGAGAGUUUUGUUAUGAAAAUUAGAGAAUUUGGGUAUCAAGGAGUGCAGAGAGCUUAAGAAGAAUGAGGAUUAAGAAGAAGGCCAUUAAGAGAUUUUUGCAAUUUCAUUUGAAUGAUGAAGUUGAAAACCAGACUGUAGUUAAAAAAAAAGAGUAGGAAGAAGGGAAGUAGAAGCACCUUUCAUAGAUAGCAUUUUCAAAAAUUUCAAUCCCAAAGGGAAGAGAGAGAUAGGAAAUGAUAGCUAUCAGGGAUAGAUGGAUAAAAUGAAGGCUGUUUUUCAUUUGGGGUUGAAGGAAAGCUGCCAGUAGAUGUGGAGAGUUUGAAAACAAAAUGAAACAAUGGGAAUACUAGAGAGAUUCUCUGCUGGGUGAAGGAUGAAGUAAAGAGAGCACAUAUUUUGGCAUUUCCUUCAGAAUAUAUGGGGACAACAUAUUGUCCUUUCUACACCCACUCCUGUGGUUGAGAUAUAUGUUUUCAUCUAUUGUUCUAGGAAGUGAGGUUGCUGUAGGACCUGUCACCCAUAUCCCAGACCAUGGAGAACCAGGAAAAAUCAUGACAUCACUGACUAGUGGCCUCCUGAUCCGUGAAUCCCCUGUAAAUGCUAUAGAGAGUGACAUUGGUGUAGGGCCCUUCGCCCAUAUCACAGAACAUGGAGCACCAUGAGACAUGACAUCAGUGACCAGUGAAUCUACUGUAUGUGCCAUGGGAUUCUCUACUGAGACUUCAGGGACACUGAAGAAAGUGAGUGGAUCUGACCAGGGAAGAGAACCAACAAACUCCACCAGUAUCCCUAUGACUGGCUUUAUCGGGAGAGAUUCCAUUGAUGACACUGAAAAGGACAUACGUGUCAUGGAGACAACUCCAAGAGCCACAGCCACUCAAGACCUACUUCUCACUGUGCCCACUGGAGAAGGUGACCUCAUCCCUGGGAUGCACAGGAGAACUGUGUCCUCUCCCACCAAAACCUCAGUUCCAUCUGAGAUAUCCUCUGGAGUCACCAUUGCCAUUGCAAGGACCUCACUCUCCAUGACUCCAGUAGAAAUCACAGCUAGGUCCGGCUACAGUGCUCCCUUAAACAUCAGCCUAAGCACAAGAACAGCUUCCCUUGAGCCUGCUACUUCGUUGGAGGACCCAAGGCCAGCCGGCCUGACUCCAGAAACUGAGAGAAACCCACAGGCAACACCAACUCCAGCUAUCACCCUGCCUCCAGCCAGCACACAGGAAGUUUGCACAACAGCAUCUCCCAGUCCUCCUGACACAACCACAGAGGGCAGCAGUGUCCAGGCAGGGACAGCCUCUGUUUCUGAUCAGGUGCCUUCCACUUCCAGCCUCUUCCCAAGUAAGCAUAUUUUAAAUAAACUUCCCAGGGAGGGAAUUGGGGUGUGGUCUUGGAGGGAAUGGAGAGUGUCUGUCCAGGGAGGGUUAGUUUGUGCCUUUCUAAGGGGAAGGGUCUUCUUCCCAGGUCCUUCCUCUCUUUAG